rnacentral:rRNA from 1 species
UACAGAGGUCCCAAGCGUUGUUCGGAUUCAUUGGGCGUAAAGGGUGCGUAGGCGGCGCGGUAAGUCGGGUGUGAAAUCUCGGAGCUUAACUCCGAAACUGCAUUCGAUACUGCCGUGCUUGAGGACUGGAGAGGAGACUGGAAUUUACGGUGUAGCGGUGAAAUGCGUAGAUAUCGUAAGGAAGACCAGUGGCGAAGGCGGGUCUCUGGACAGUUCCUGACGCUGAGGCACGAAAGCGUGGGGAGCGAACAGG